AUGUUAUAUUAAGUUAAUUUCCAGCAUAUAAUAUGCUUGCUCCAACCUAUCUCAAAAUUUUAAGCCUCUAACCCAAUACUAUUAUUAUUAUCUUCCCAUAACACAUACAAAAUUUAAUUCAUUAAAUCAAGAGUUUAGUUAUCUCAACUGCAUUCUAAAAUCUAUUUCAAAAUUUAUCAUGCAGAUAUCAUAAUUCAACACCCACACUCAAAUUAUCAUAGACAAACAACAUAUG
rnacentral:lncRNA from 1 species